AACCAAAACAAUCAUCAGCCUUCGAUUUGGGAAGAAAAACAUCAAGAAAUCCUAGAUUACUGUGAAAAUACGAGCACCCACCCAAAUCUUAAGAGAGCCAUGCAAUCAAAACGACAAAGAUGGCCAUCAAAGCACAAUCUCCAGCCAAAACGUUAACCAGGGAGGAUCAACCCAUCGUCGAUCAGUCGCCACUGCCGUCAAUGCUACUAUCGGAACCUCCUCAACCCAGUAAGUAUCUUCGCGCAAUGCGAAACCCUCCUGUGCAAUCGCAUGGGCUACCUUAUUGCAAUUUCUAUUUGCAUGUAGAAACAGAACCUUCAUGAAAUGAUUCACUUGUGUUCUAGCAUCUGAUAUAUAUGCACUAUUAUGAGAUUUAUCUUCCUUUGCACCAUUAAUAUUUGAAAUGACUGUGCGAGAAUCCCCUUCAACUUCAAUCAUGGUGAAACCCAUCUCACGCGCAAAUUUUAGAGCCUGAACACAAGCUAAUGCUUCUGCCGAGAAAGCAUCAGGAUUCCUUGGGGGAGUACACUUGGGCAACUGAAUGAUUAAUCUGCACAGCUUGUUCUCCUAAUCUUCUUGUUUCGCGCAUUCCAGAUUGCCCAAAUAGCCACAAUAAUCAUUCUACAGUCAGGACCAGACGUUGUAAUUACAUGUGAAACAGUUUCAGGUUCGGCUUGACAUCUAGGACAAAUAGGAGUGGCUGCAACACGCUUCGUAUAGAUUCACUUAAGUAGGCACCUAGUUAUGUAAUAAUCUCCAGGUCACGAUUUUGAUCUUAGAAGGGACCGGAGUGUUCCAUAGUUUCUUGUAAAUUGUUCUAUCGUCAGCAUUAGGAAUAGUCAUCAUAGGGUCCGUAUUUAGAAGUCUAUAUCCACUCCGCACUGUAUACUCCCCUGAAUACUUCGCUUGCCAUACCACAUCAUCCUCUUGAGAGCUAUCAGAUAAAAGGUUGCACAGAAUUCGCUCCGAGUUUGAAGCUUCGAAAAUCUCAGUAAUAAUAGAGCCACCAAUUCUAUUAGGAGUUUCUAAAUUCCAGUGCAAUGUACAAAAUAAUUUUUCAUAUUGAAACUAUGUUAAGUUAUUUAUAUUUAGAAA